rnacentral:misc_RNA from 1 species
GGCCAGAGCGGAGGGAGCGCCACGCUGGGCGGAGAAGAGGGGGCGGAAGCGGACGCGGCGACGCGACUGCGCAGUGGCGCGGGCGCCGCGGGAAGGAACCGCCAUCGCGCAGUCGACGACCAGGGAGGAAGAGCGAUCGCCGGGAAGUAGAUCGCGGAGAAAGCGUCGAAGGUCGGAGGAAGCGGCUAUUCGUCGUCGGGACCGAGGGACGCCGACUCUUCCGGUCGAUCGGAGGCGGGAACGGAGCCACUCGCCUCCGCCGACCAUGGGUUGCGCGCCCAGCCUCCGCCCCGAACGCGGCGCCGUCCUCUACCGCGCCGGUUCCAACCGCAGCGGAUCGACGGCGACCCGGGGCCUGCCCGGCCUCUUCCGGGCCACCGACCCGCCACCGGAAGCGACGUCGGAGGAAGAAUUCUCGUCUCGCUCCGGCCGCCGGCGCGGGAGCGACGCGCUGGACCAGGAAGGAAGUUCCGUCGUUAAAUUUGGACCGAUGUGCCUUAACCGACAGAAGAUUAAAGCGUUGCUAAUUUUUCCCAAAGAAGACGCUCAAAGCGACGCGUUGAAAUGGGCAGCCGAGAAACUUCAAUACGAAUGUUCUCUGGUAUACGACCCGGAAAAGGCGCUGGAAGAAUACUUAAACCGUCGUCAUCACUUAAUAUUUGUCGACAGUAGACAGUCCAGGUCUUACGACCCCGUCGCCUUGUGCGGAUCAUUAAGAGCCAUCCGAGGAAGUCAAUAUACUUGCAUAGUAGCCGUGGUGAAAAGAAAUACUGCCGAUAGAGAAGAUGGUUCCAUAAUGCCACUUAUCCGAGCUGGUUUUAACAGGUGGCUUCUUGAAAGUUGCAAUCUUGGGUUCUGUUUAAAUGAGCUUAUACAAUUAGAACAUAAUGAGAUUGUCAUGCAGUUGAAAUUGAGAGCAGCUCAAGCACUUUUUACUGCCUUAGAUAAUUGUCGAGAUGGAAUAAUCAUUACUAGUGCCAAUCAUGAUGUACAGUUUUUAAACCGAUCUUCAGAAAAGUUAUUAGGAUUUACUGCAGAUGAAAUAAUUGGUAAAAGUACUCAGGAAAUAUACAAAUCAGACUCUACAAAAGCAGAUGUUAUUGAAAACAUUAAUAUGCAAAUAACAAAAGGAAAAGAAUGGGAAGGAAAAUUAUUACAUAAAAGGAAAUCUGGAGAAAAUAUGCCAUUAUGGAGUCGAAUUUCACCUGUAGAAAUAACUACUGGUUUUUUAGAUCAUAUCGUGUAUGUGAAAGAAUAUCCCUAUAUUUUCGAUAAAUCUCUUGCAUCUGAUUCAGAAAUGCUUCCAUUUUCAUGUGCUGCUGUAAAAACAUUAAGAAAGGCAUCUUGUGAUGUUCGUUCACUCUGCAGUGAAGCAGGUAUGAAUCGACGACAAUCAUUUGCUAGAUUUCAUGCUAUGACAAUAGAAGCACCUAUAACAAAGGUAAUUAAUAUGCUUUUGGCAACUCAAGAAAAUAGUCCAAUAUUUGUUGCACAAGCUCUUGAUAGAGCAUUAGAUAUAUUGAGAAGCACAGAAUUGUAUUCACCACAAUUCCCUGGUCUUCAACAAGUUCGUGCAGAAGAUCAAAUUACUUCUGAUCUUGUAACAGGAUUAGUCACAGGGCAAAAAACAUACAGAAGAUUUUCACAUGAAGUAGCCCUUAAAGGAUUAUCAGCACCACCAACAACAAUGGCCACAAGUGCUGCUCUACCUAAUUUGACAACAGCACCAAUUGAAGUAAGAAAUAUAUUAGAAAAAGAAGCUGAAUGGAAUUUUGAUAUUCUUUCUCUGGAAAGAAUUACUGAGAAAAGACCACUCAUAUGGCUUGGAAUGGCAAUUUUUACUCGAUUCAAUGUAUAUUCUACAUUGGGAUGUGAUGAGAAAGUUAUAAGAAACUGGCUUUCUUUAAUUGAAGCUAAUUAUCAUGAUAAUCCUUAUCAUAAUUCUACACAUGCAGCUGAUGUUCUUCAAGCUACAGCAUAUUUUCUACAAAAACCAAGAUUAAAGGCAAUUUUUGAUCCAUUAGAUGAAGUUAUAUCUUUAGUAGCUGCAAUUGUUCAUGAUGUUGAUCAUCCAGGAAAAACAAGUGCGUUCCUCUGUAAUUCUUCUAAUAAUCUUGCAAUUUUAUAUAAUGACUUAUUAACAACUAAGAAAUUGUGAAAUAGUAGUCAAGGUGUAACAAAUCAACCCAAACUCAAUUUAAUGGAAAUAAAAAUAAAAUAAUGUCUGUAUUAGAAAGUCAUCAUGCUGCAUUUGCCUUUAAACUCACAAAUUCUGGCGAGCGUGUGAAUAUUUUCCAGCAUCUUGAUCGUGACAACUAUAGAGCAGUUCGUCAAUCAAUUAUUGAUAUGGU